UACGUAGGGCGCAAGCGUUGUCCGGAAUUAUUGGGCGUAAAGAGCUCGUAGGCGGCUUGUCACGUCGAUUGUGAAAGCCCGAGGCUUAACCUCGGGUCUGCAGUCGAUACGGGCUAGCUAGAGUGUGGUAGGGGAGAUCGGAAUUCCUGGUGUAGCGGUGAAAUGCGCAGAUAUCAGGAGGAACACCGGUGGCGAAGGCGGAUCUCUGGGCCAUUACUGACGCUGAGGCGCGAAAGCCAGGGGAGCGAACGGG
rnacentral:rRNA from 1 species